GAUAUACUCCCUCCGUCCCAAAAUUCUUGUCUUAGAUUUAUCUAAAUACGGAUGUAUCAAGUCACAUUUUAGUAUUAGAUACAUUCAUAUCUAGACAAAUCUAAGACAAUAAUUUUGGGACGGAGGGAGUAGACA
rnacentral:pre_miRNA from 1 species